CAAUCCGGUAUUAAGAAAAGGCUUUGUAUUAAGAAAAGAAGGGUAAAAGAAACCCUCUGGAGAGAGAUUUAGCAUAGCCAGCUACUCUCACAGGCAAACAGAGUUCAAUCACAGAGGA